CCUGGCUCAGAUUGAACGCUGGCGGCAGGCCUAACACAUGCAAGUCGAGCGGAUGAUGGGAGCUUGCUCCCGGAUUCAGCGGCGGACGGGUGAGUAAUGCCUAGGAAUCUGCCUGGUAGUGGGGGACAACGUUUCGAAAGGAACGCUAAUACCGCAUACGUCCUACGGGAGAAAGCAGGGGACCUUCGGGCCUUGCGCUAUCAGAUGAGCCUAGGUCGGAUUAGCUAGUUGGUGGGGUAAAGGCCUACCAAGGCGACGAUCCGUAACUGGUCUGAGAGGAUGAUCAGUCACACUGGAACUGAGACACGGUCCAGACUCCUACGGGAGGCAGCAGUGGGGAAUAUUGGACAAUGGGCGAAAGCCUGAUCCAGCCAUGCCGCGUGUGUGAAGAAGGUCUUCGGAUUGUAAAGCACUUUAAGUUGGGAGGAAGGGCAGUAAGUUAAUACCUUGCUGUUUUGACGUUACCAACAGAAUAA
rnacentral:rRNA from 1 species